UGCAGUCAUGUCAAAUUCAGGUGUACAUUUCCAUGGUGCUUACUGGCUUAAUGGCUGCUACAGUAAAUUUGUAGUUCGUGGGCCCUAGAUCCUUAUCUCUGGGUGCUGGGGAUAAGCAUGAUUCUACAAACAUAU